AGCUCCAAUAGUAUAUAUUAAAGUUGUUGCAUUUAAAAAUUUUGUAAUUGAACUUGUUGCCUGGAUGGCUUGGUCUGACGCUUAUGUGUGAGUACCUGAGCCAUCCAACUAUCCUUGGGUAGAAUCUGUGUGGAAUUAGGUUCUCGUGUAGAGGAUACCCAUCCUUUACUGUGAAAAAAAUUGAGUCUUCAAGGCAGGCUUAUGCCUUUGAAUAUAUUAUCUUAGAACAAUGAUAUAGGACUUUGAUACUAUUUUGUUGGUUUGUACACCAAAGUAAUGAUUAAUAGGGACAGUUGGAGAUAUUAUUAUUUUUAGGUCAGAAGUGAAAGUUUUGGAUUCUUUAAAGACUGACUACUAAGAAAAAAUGUAUCAAAGAUGUUUUCA
rnacentral:rRNA from 1 species